GAUGAAGAACGUAGUGAAAUGCGAUAAGUAGUGUGAAUUGCAGAAUUCCGUGAAUCAUCGAAUCUUUGAACGCACAUUGCGCCCCUUGGUAUCCCGAGGGGCAUGCCUGUUCGAGCGUCAUUUCACCACUCAAGCCUGGCUUGGUGUUGGGCGACGUCCUCUUUGGGGACGCGCCUCGAAACGCUCGGCGGCGUGGCACCGGCUUUAAGCGUAGCAGAAUCUUUCGCUUUGGAAGUCGGGGCCCCGUCUGCCGGAAGACCUGCUCGCAAGGUUGACCUCGGAUCAGGCAGGGAUACCCGCUGAACUUAAGCAUAUCAAUAAGCGGAGGA
rnacentral:misc_RNA from 1 species